rnacentral:tRNA from 1 species
CGCAGGGUAGAUCAGGCGGUAGAUCACCGGGCCCAUAACCCGGUUGUCGGCGGUUCGAAUCCGCCCCCUGCAACCA